GNNACGCUGGCGGCGUGCCUAAUCAUGCAAGUCGAACGCUUCUUUUUCACCGGGUGCUUGCACCCACCGAGAAAGAGGAGUGGCGGACGGGUGAGUAACACGUGGGCAACCUGCCCAUCAGAGGGGGAUAACACUUGGAAACAGGUGCUAAUACCGCAUAAUUCUUUUUGUCGCCUGACAGAAAGAUAAAAGACGCUUUCGGGUGUCACUGAUGGAUGGGCCCGCGCUGCAUUAGCUAGUUGGUGGGGUAACGGCUCACCAAGGCCAUGAUGCAUAGCCGACCUGAGAGGGUGAUCGGCCACACUGGGACUGAGACACGGCCCAGACUCCUACGGGAGGCAGCAGUAGGGAAUCUUCGGCAAUGGACGAAAGUCUGACCGAGCAACGCCGCGUGAGUGAAGAAGGUUUUCGGAUCGUAAAACUCUGUUGUUAGAGAAGAACAAGUGAGAGAGUAACUGUUCUCACCUUGACGGUAUCUAACCAGAAAGCCACGGCUAACUACGUGCCAGCAGCCGCGGUAAUACGUAGGUGGCAAGCGUUGUCCGGAUUUAUUGGGCGUAAAGCGAGCGCAGGCGGUUCCUUAAGUCUGAUGUGAAAGCCCCCGGCUCAACCGGGGAAGGUCAUUGGAAACUGGGGAACUUGAGUGCANAAGANGAGAGUGGAAUUCCAUGUGUAGCGGUGAAAUGCGUAAAUAUAUGGAGGACACCAGUGGCGAAGGCGACUCUCUGGUCUGUANCUGACNCUGANGCUCGAAAGCGUGGGGAGCAAACAGGAUANAUACCCUGGUANUCCCNCCGUAAACNAUGANUGCUAAUGUUGGAGGNUUCCCCCUUCAUGCUGCANUAANCNAUUAACCCUCCCCNGGGGAAUACGCCCCAGNUNAACUCAAGGANUGACG
rnacentral:rRNA from 1 species